CCUACGGGAGGCUGCAGUGGGGAAUAUUGCACAAUGGGCGCAAGCCUGAUGCAGCCAUGCCGCGUGUGUGAAGAAGGCCUUCGGGUUGUAAAGCACUUUCAGCGGGGAGGAAGGCGGUGAGGUUAAUAACCUCAUCGAUUGACGUUACCCGCAGAAGAAGCACCGGCUAACUCCGUGCCAGCAGCCGCGGUAAUACGGAGGGUGCAAGCGUUAAUCGGAAUUACUGGGCGUAAAGCGCACGCAGGCGGUCUGUCAAGUCGGAUGUGAAAUCCCCGGGCUCAACCGGGGAACUGCAUUCGAAACUGGCAGGCUAGAGUCUUGUAGAGGGGGGUAGAAUUCCAGGUGUAGCGGUGAAAUGCGUAGAGAUCUGGAGGAAUACCGGUGGCGAAGGCGGCCCCCUGGACAAAGACUGACGCUCAGGUGCGAAAGCGUGGGGAGCAAACAGGAUUAGAUACCCGGUAGUC
rnacentral:rRNA from 1 species